rnacentral:rRNA from 1 species
UACGUAGGGGGCAAGCGUUGUCCGGAUUUAUUGGGCGUAAAGAGCGUGUAGGCGGCCAGACUGGUCAGCUGUGAAAACUCGAGGCUCAACCUCGAGACGUCGGUUGAAACCGUCUGGCUAGAGUCCGGAAGAGGAGAGUGAAAUUCCCGGUGUAGCGGUGAAAUGCGCAGAUAUCGGGAAGAACACCCGUGGCGAAGGCGGCUCUCUGGGACGGUACUGACGCUGAGACGCGAAAGCGUGGGGAGCGAACAGG